rnacentral:rRNA from 1 species
UACGGGGGGGGCAAGCAUUGUUCGGAAUUACUGGGCGUAAAGGGCUCGUAGGCGGCCAACUAAGUCAGACGUGAAAUCCCUCGGCUUAACCGGGGAACUGCGUCUGAUACUGGUUGGCUUGAAUCCGGGAGAGGGAUGUGGAAUUCCAGGUGUAGCGGUGAAAUGCGUAGAUAUCUGGAGGAACACCGGUGGCGAAGGCGGCAUCCUGGACCGGUAUUGACGCUGAGGAGCGAAAGCCAGGGGAGCAAACGGG